rnacentral:lncRNA from 1 species
GGAAAUCAAAGUCUUCUAAGAAACAGAAUCCAAAUCAUUCAAAACAUUAAUAAUUACAUAUGUUUUCCCUUAGAAUAAAUUAUUUUUCAAGCUUAUCUUCAUAGUAAGUUCAUACAACUCAGCAAGCUAUCGUAAGGCAAACUGUAUACUCUUCUUUGCUCUUGUUUCUCAGGUCAUAAACAAGACUGAUCCCUUCUGCAGCAGGGUGCAUCUACAAAUGUAGAUUGGAAGAUCUGGUGAAGAUCCCUCUUUCAGGAAAGGGAGAGUACAAACUGUGAAUACUGUGUAAAAACUAUUACUGUAAAGAAAAAAGGAGUUCUUUUUGUCCUUCUUCCAGUACAGUCUCUAACAUUGUCCUUCCUGGCAACAGCAUAAUGAAUAAUGAGAAAUUUCUAUGAAUGUCUCUUUAUGAGUUUUCGAACAAAAGGCAAAAGAACUAUCCCCUGGAUUGCUUGCUGGAAGAACUUCUUGACACUGUUCAUUGCCACUCAUUUCGUGUCAGUCAUUCAUGUCUCAAGCAUUAAGAAUAUUUAAGCAUUUCCAACUGAAAGUAAUGCUCUGAGGACUUGACCCAAGAUCAUUAUGAUAAGAUCAAUGACUGAAGGUUUUCUCUGUUGCUACGUGCAUGUCAUACGCUGUAAGAGAACAGUCAGUGAGUAGCUCAGGUGUUGGCUCACCCAAGAAAGAACCCACUCCAAUCUAACCUGGAAACCUUGGUGUGCAGUGAUGUUGUACCACUGAGAGAAGACCAUUGAGUCAUGUACUCCCAUGGGAUCACAAGAGCAAUGCAGAGAGCUCUGCUUAUACAGGAAAAUAACAUUAAAACUGAUAGAACUGAGAAGAAAAAGCACACAAGCUUCUGCUGCAGAAUGCCAUGCCAGCAAGGAGUGCCUGGAGCUGGCACAGACGUGUUGCUGUCUCUGAAUGUACCUGCUUCUGAAUGUGCAGGUUUUGGAAUAUAGGGCUACCAUCUCUUCCUUGUUAUAACAUAGUUUGCAAACAACAUGAAGCAAG